UUUACGUGUAGCUCAAUUGGUAGAGUAGUGGUCUCCAAAACCAUUGGCUGGGAGUUCGAGUCUCUCCACCCGUGCGU
rnacentral:tRNA from 1 species